rnacentral:rRNA from 1 species
AACGAACGCUGGCGGCAUGCCUAACACAUGCAAGUCGAACGAGACCUUCGUGUCUAGUGGCGCACGGGGGCGUAACGCCGGGUAACCUGCCCGUAGGUUCGGAAUAACUGCCCGAAAGGGGUCCUAAUACCGGUGAAUCUCUUCCGACCAAAGAUUUAUCGCCUUUGGAUGGGCCCGGGUUGGAUUAGCUAGUUGGUAGGGUAAAAGCAUACCAAGGCGACGAUGCAUAGCUGGUCUGAGAGGAUGAUCAGUCACAAUGGCACUGAGGCACGGCCUAGACUCGUACGGGAGGCAGCAGUGGGGAAUAUUGGACGAUGGGCGCAAGCCUGAUACAGCAAUGCGGCGUGAGUGAUGCAGGCCUUAGGGUUGUAAAGCUGUUUUAGACGGGAUGAUAAUGACGGUAACGGGAGAAUAAGCACCGGCUAACUACGUG